rnacentral:lncRNA from 1 species
GUUCCUCUAGGCAGAGCUUAUACAAUAGUCACAUCUCCUGGGUUAUCAGGGCAGUGAUAAAUCACAAUGCCCCCAUAGGCAGAGCCUAGACAAGAGUUACAUAACCCGGGUGAUCCGUGCAGAGUAAUGUCACAAUGCCCUCUGUAGGCAGAGCCUAGAAAAGAGUUACAUCACCUGGGUGAUCCGUGCAGAGAUAUCUCACAAUACACCCUGUAAGCAGAGCCUAGAAAAGAGUUACAUCACCUGGGUGAUCAGUGCAGAGAUAUGUCAUAAACCCCACUGUAGGCAAAGCCUAGACAAAUUUUACAUCACCUAAGUGAUCAGUGCAGAGAUAUGUCCCAAUGUCCCUCUAGGCAGAGCUUAGACAAGAGUCACAUCUCCUGGGUGAUCAGUGCAGAGAUAAGUCACACUGCCCCCAUUGGCAGAGCCUAGAGAAGAGUUAUAUGACUGGGGUGAUCCGUGCAGAGUGAUAUCACAACGCCCUCUGUAGCCACAGAGUAGAAAAUAGUUACAUCACCUGGGUGAUCAGUGCAGAGAUAUGUCACAAUGCCCCUGUAGGUAGAGCAUAGAGAACAGUUGCAUCACCUGGGUGAUCAGUGCAGAAAUAUGUGACAAUGCCUCCAGUAGGCAGA